UUCAUUAAAAAAAGGUGAGAAAAUAAUAGGAAAAGAACUUGACUUCUCAAAACUAAUAUGUUUUUGAAUUAGUUCUUAAACAUUAAUCAUGGAGGUACAUCGUUAACAACUGUUUUCUGUUUUUCUCGAUUCAUCUUGUUGCAAUCGUCUUUUAUAAUUCAUUCUAAUCAUUCAACGAAAAGCUGUUAAAUCUUGGAAAAAAAGAAAAGUCUGGAAAACAAUAGCUCGAAAAGUUUAUCAGAUUCUAAAUACUCGUUUGCAGAUAAUCCUUUAGUAUUGCCACGAUAAAUCCAUAAUUCUACGUAUCGUAUAUAUCAGAUAUAAUGAUAACUGUUAUUUGGUAUAUAAAUAGUAGCAGGAUAUAAACUUCAGUCUAACGUAUCUGGUUUCUUCCAAGUAAAUACCUGUACUCAUAUACAGGGUGUCUCUUCUAACAAAAUUUUAACUUUUG